ACUGACUGCCCUCGCAGAGGGGCUGCAGGCAGGAGUAGCCGAAACCCGAAUCUCCUACGGCCUGAAGUGCGGGUAAUUCUUCCAGCAGCCACAGGUCGAUGCCUCGCAAGCCCAAGCCGUGAGUGGCUUGUCGAUUCUCGGUUCACAAAGUCAGUCCCAAAGGGCGUUUGUUUAGGAUUUGCCACCCUUCGGCAACCCUUGGUCCGCGGGAGGCACGCCCUCCUCUCCUUCCUUGUGAUUGGUUACUGAGUCCUGAUAAGUAGAUCCACGGACCAAUCGGCACGCCUGAGGCUGCGCUGGGCGUUGUCUUUGGGAGUUGCAGUCUGACAGCUAUCAGUUUUGCUCUAUGGUACAAGAGAACUCGAAUUCUCAACCUGGCCUAGUGGGCAGAGUCCUGCUGUGAUUUUGCUGGCGGGUCGAGAGCAUACACAGGAACACCGUGACCUGGGGCAGGGACAGCCACAGGCGUCGGGGAUACGGAGUGGCUCUCGGCCUGGCUUUACGGAAAACUACACACUUGACUUCUCAGAAGCUAUGCCAGGGUUCCUGCUGCAGCUUGAAUAGGCUCUCCCUCUCCUCCCUCCCUCCAGGGCCCACCGCAAAGUUCUGAACUGUUCUCUACCAAAGCUCCCAGACCCCCAUGCUUUAUUGACGAAUUAAAUUAGAGCCAGUUCUUUGGCAGUGAUUGUCUAGCAGUGGGCCUGUGAACUGGUUUGAACCAGUGGGAAGUAGAGAAGCUGCUUGGAGCAGAGACCGUAAGAUCCCCUUUUCCAGUUCCAGUGUAGUGUUAGCUUCCUGGGACGAUGGCAGCCUUCACAUCACGAGGACAGCUAGUGGCAAUGCUAGUGGGAAGUGAAGUUUAACACGAGAUGGAUUGUCGCAAUCUCGUGUCACACACCCUUCCUACCUGGUGUAUCUUUGGAAUUAUGAAUCUAUUGAAUUUUUUAAAAGGCUUGGCAGUGUGUCUUGGUGUUGGAGUGCUUCCCUAGUGUGUUAACUGGGUGUUGUCUAGAGGAACCAAACAGGGUCUUAAAGACAGGAAGGUAGAUGGAGGAAGGAGGAUCAGAAAUUCAAAAGUCAGAGGCUUGUGAAAUGGCUCAGCGGGUAAGAGCACUGACUGUUCUUCCAAAGGUCCUGAGUUCAAAUCCCAGCAACCACAUGGUGGCUCACAACUACCCAAAAUGAGAUCUCAUAAUGAGAGCCGACACCCUCUUCUGGUGCGUCUGAAGACAGCUACAGUGGUACUUAAUAAAAUGAAUAAAUCUUUGGGCCAGAGCAAGCAGGGACUGAGCAAGCAGAGUUGACCUGAGCAAGUGGGGCAACCAGAGCAAGCAGAGGUCCUAAAAAUUCAAUUCCCAACCACCAUAUGGAGGCUCACAGCCAGCUGUACAUGUACUCAUAUACAUAAAAUAAAUAAAUAAAUCUUUAAAAAAAAGAAAUUCAAAAGUCAUCAUCAUAGUGAGGUGGAGGUUAGUCUGGGCUACUAGAAACUGUCUUAAAAACAAAACAGGGGCCUGGAGAUAUGGCUCAGCAGUUAAGAGCACUGACUGCUCUUAUAGAGGAACUGAGUUCAAUUCCCAGCAACCACAUGGUAGCUCACAACCAUCUGUAAUGGAGUCCAAUGCACUCUUCUGGUGUGUGUCUAAAGACAGCUGCAGUGUACUUGUAUAAAUAAACAUAAAUAAAUCUUUAAAACAGAACAAAACAGGGCUUGGUUUGUUGGUGUACACCUUUAAUUCCAGCAUUUGGGAUGCAGAGACAGGCAGAUCUCUGUGAGUUCCAGGCCAGCUUGGUCUGCAUAGAGAGUUCUAGCCAACCAGGGUUACGUAGAAAGACAUUGUUUCAAAACAAAAUAAACAAACAAAAACCAUGGCCUGGAGAGAUGGUUUAUUGAUUACCAGCAUCUAUUGCUCUUGCAGAGUGCAUGUGUUCAGUUUCCCCAACCUAUGCCAUCUGACUCACAAUUGCCUAAAACUCCAGGGGAUUCAACAUCUUGGGCUGGCACUCACAUACAUGCCCCUCAAAAAUUUGGAGUUAAAAUAUAUCUUUCUAUAAAAAAAAUAAGAAAAACAGCAUGAGAGAAUACCAAGUUGAUCAAGAUCCCUUUCCUGUAGGCUGUAAAUCUUGUCAGCUCACUGCAGUUUGACUUUCUGCUGAUCUCUCAGAGGGUCGGAUCUACAGAUAAGUUACUUAAGUGUCUGGAAUCCUGGACUGUUUCAGGAGCAGCUCCAAUUUUUUUUUUUUUUUUUUAGGUUUUUCGAGACAGGGUUUCUAUGUGUAGCCCUGGCUGUCCUGGAACUCACUCUGUAGACCAGGCUGGCCUCGAACUCAGAAAUCCGCCUGCCUCUGCCUCCCAAGUGCUAGGAUUAAAGGCGUGUGCCACCACGCCCGGCUGAGCAGCUCCAUUUUGAGACUGCUCUUUUUUCUUUAAAAAAUGCUUGAGCUAACUCCAGAACCAUUUCCCCACAUCCUUAGCCCAUGAACUGGGUACAGCAGUGGGUAUUUGUAGGAAGGUAUAGUUUGGAUUGGAGAAGUGCUCAGUGGUAGUAGCCCAGGGUAGAUCCCCAGUGCUGUAGAAGAUGAACUUUAGCUCAGAUGAUAUUUCCCAAGCACUAGUCAUUUCAGAACUGACUGCAAGAUGUGUAUCAGAUUUCUGUUAAAUAACUCUAUCUUAAGUUUUUGUUAUUGAUGGUGUUUGAGACCAAGUCUCUAUAGUUCUAGCUGGCCAGGAAUUCUCUGUAUAGAGUAGGCUGGCCACAAAAUCACAGAGAUCUUCCUGUACCCACCUCAUAAUGCUGAAUUUGUCAUCAAACUUGGUUCAUCUUAGCCAUUUUGAGAUGCACAGUAGAUAAACACACUCACAGUGUGGGCAAAUAUAACUUCUUCCCAUCUCCAAAAUAACUCAUCUUCCCCAGCUAAAAAUGUCCCUGUAAAAACUGACUCUUGUUCCUACCCUCCUUUCCACUGCCUUUAUAAGGUUGUGCCUAUUCACUUGGUUUGAAGCAGGGUCUUAAAAACAAAUGAUAAUGCCAGUCAGUGGUGGAGCACACCUUUAAUCUCAGAACUUGGGGGCAGAAGCAGAUGGAUCUCUGAGUUCAAGGCCAGUCUGGUCUAUAGGAUGAGUUCCUAGACAGACAGGGCUACAUAGAGAACCAAAGAAUAAGAGGAGGAAGAGAGAGAGAGAGAGAGAAAGAGAGAGAGAGAAAGAAGCCUGCCUGCCUGACUAUGUAGACCAGGCUAGCUUCAAACUCAGAGUGAUUCUCUUGCCUCUACCUCACUGAGUAUAGACAUUAGUUGUGUACCACCGUGCCAAGCUGUCUGUAAAGCUGACCAGCCUUUACACCCGAUAUGAGUUGAGUUAGAGUACCUGGAUUUUUGUAGUGGUUCUGCUAAAUACAAACGCCUUCAAGUUCAUCAGCACUGUAGCACUGUCAACAUUUCCUCCUUCCUGAGGCAGAACCACAUUCAUCCUAGGGGGUCAACCGUGCGUUGUGCAUGCAUCCAUCUGUCACUAGUGUCUGGCAAGUAUCUGAUGUGUGUUUCUAGAAAAAGAAUUGCUGGCUAGCGGGUAACUGCUCUGUCUUUCUGUCUGUCUAUUGGAACCACAAGUCAACUGUAGCUGUAACAUUCCCACCAACAAAGCACAAAGGUUUCAUUUCUUCAUUUAUCAUCUGAUGCUCGGUACUCUUGCUGACAAGUACCCUGAAGUGGAAACUUAAGGGUUCUGUGGAAAGUUGGCUGGAUGGUUGGUGUUUGGCUGGGGCAAACAUAUGAAGGAAGGUUUAGCUGAAGCGGACACAGGGAGAGAGGAUGUUCUGCUAAAGCAAGCACGUGAAAGGACGCGUGAUGAGGAUUCUUUGCUAACGACACACAUCUAUUGGGACGCCUUACAGUGCAUCGUUGAGCUGCAUUUGUCUGGACUCCAUAGAGAAAAACACACC
rnacentral:lncRNA from 1 species